GUUGAAUUUUAACAAAUUAAACCGUUUAUUUAAUUUUUACAUUACUCUAAAUUAAAAAUAAAUAUUUUUUUACAAGUGUAUCAUGUCGUACCCGUACUCUAUUUUUUUUGAAUUUUAUCAUAUCAACGUACCUGUAUCAUACCGGUACCAAUACUUGUAUCCGUAUUCAUGCUUCAUAAUACUAGAUGUUAGAAUAGGAAAUUGUUAGAAUAGUAAAUAUUAGAAUAGAAAAUAAUUGAUUGUAUUCUUAUUUAUUCCUUUUUGGUUUCUCAGAAUUAUGUCUGUAAUUGCUCAAUUAUCAAUAUAAAAGGGAAUGAAUAAUUCAUUCCCUAACUCUUUCUCUUCUCUAAAUCUUCAUGGUAUCAGAGCCACACAGGCCCUAGCCAUCCUAUUCUAGCCUCUCUUCUCCUGCAGCCUUUGAGCCACAGAAACCCAGCACCCAGCCACCAAAACCCUUCACCCAGCCUAUCUUACUCACCUAGGUCUCCCAAAACCCUCAACCCAGGCCUCUGCAGGCCCCCUCUCGUCUUCUAGGGGUCUGUCGAGAGCCCUUCCUAGCUUUGUAGGCUGUGUCGCAGGGUCCUAUUGGCUUCAGAGUCCUUGUCGGCACCCCUCCAGGGCUUUCCCCCUUCAACGGUAGUUCUUUUGGCUAUCUAGACCUUCCACGACACUCUGUCUCUGUCCCCUGGCCCUCUAUCUCUGUUGGCAGUCUCUAGGUCUCUGGCUUUUAUGUUUUAAACUCUUUGUUUGAUGUUUUAACCUUAAAAAAAAAAAGAAAAUUGAUGAGUUCUUAAUUUCUUUAUACUUUCACAGUGGUAGUUGUGUCUUUCUUUCCUUCCUUUCAUUCCUUUCAUUUUUAUUUUUCGGAUUUGUGAUUGGCCUUGUUUUUGAGAGAUCAAUAGUAGAGUAUCCAUGGCUGAUUCCCUUAGUGAAUCCAUUACUUCUCAGCCACCUCAGAGUGAGAGUUUCAUUAUACCUCCUACUAUAACUGAUAACCUUAACCCUGGCCUCAAGAUCACCACCUCUUUAUUCAAUGGUUAGAACUAUUUAGCGUGGUUGCAAAGUUUGACUAUUUUUUUGAAGAGUAGAGGGAAAAUUGGAUAUGUUGAUGGCAGGAUACAGGCACCCACCACCACGGACCACAGUUAUGAACAGUGGGAGAUCACUAACUCCCUCAUUAUAGGUUGGUUGAUACAUUUUAUAGUCCCGGAGAUUAGAGAAGGCUAUCUCUCUAUAGGCACUGCACAGGAUAUUUGGGAGGCAAUGACUACCACUUACUCCCGGAAGGGGAACUUCUCCUAGGCUUUUGAGUUACGUCGCUCCAUUGAAAAGUCGGUACAAGGUGAGAUGACUAUCCUUCAGUGUUUUACCUUCCUUAACAAUGGGUGGAAGCGACUUGAUCACCUUCAGGAUUACAAACCUAUCUGUCCCACUGAUUCUAUUGGUUACCGGAAGUUUGUGGCACAAGAGCGGGUCUUCAAGUUAUUGGAAGGCCUAGAUGUGAAGUAUGAUCCGGUUUGGAGCAGAGUAUUUGGCAUGGAUGUGCUUCCUUCUCUUUAGGAAGCUUUGCUUUUAUGCAGAAUGAGGAGAGUCAUCAUUCUGCGAUGUUUCCGUUUGCUACUACUGAUCGCUCGGCCUUAGUUUCUGCACUCUUUCACAAUGGCGACCGUGUGACUCGGGGUUCUCUUCAUUCCUCAGAGAAGGAUAAUCUUUACUAUGACUACUAUCGCCGACCUCACCACACAUGAGAGACUUGUUGGAAGCUGUAUGAGACUCCUUCUGGUAGACUUGGAGACCGUUUUGGUACUCAAGGGGGUCGGUCUGGUACUAGAGGCCGAGGGGCCAAUGCAUGAGCCCAUCUUUUAGACACUGCUGAGCCACCAUCUUCAUCUCUAGUUGUCUCCUCCGCUGUUGAUGUUUCGGGGUUAUCUGCCUCGGAUUUUGAGAUUGCUUUUCGCCACUUGCUAGACCGUUGAGCCUCCACUUCUGCUACAGGACCUUAUCACGAGGAAGAGGAUUGGCAGUGGUAAGAGGAACAUGGGCUCUACAUUCUGGAUCAGAUAGACAAGUUGGCUCAUUCAUCUAUUCAAUUACCAUCCACCAAGGAAGACAUUUGGUUGUGGCACCGUCGCUUAGGACAUCCCUUAUUUUUAUUACUUAAGCAUUUAUUUCUCUCUGUUUUUGAGAAAAAUAAUGUGUCAGAUUUUUAAUGUGAGUUUUGUCAACUUGGAAAAUAACACAGAGCCUCUUUUGCUCCUUCUAUUAAUAAAAGUUUAGUUUCUUUUUCUUUGAUU